GGAAAAAAAAAAUCUCUUCCAAAAAAGCACCGGUCUGCAGAUGUCUGCGAGAGAACCCACGAACCCUCCUUCUUCUACGGCAGGGCAGAUGUCUUUUGCUAGAGAAAAUGUUCAUUUUCAUUUAUAUUCACAAGGUCUCUAUGAAGAGCGGGAUGUUUCUUAGAUCUUCAGGCAAGGAUGGUUGGUCCUGCAUGAGGCAUGAGAUGGCUGUUUUUCCAGCAGCAUUCACAAUCUUCAACCCCAACAACUGCAAAAGCA